UUUAUGUAAAUCACCUUGAGCUGCAAUUCUUGUAUGAAAUGUGCUAUAUGAAUAAAGUCUAUUUAUUAUUUGGACUAAGUUAUUAUUCUAACCCAACAUCAAGAGCUGCCGAUUGAAGCCAUGCGGAAAUAUCGUUGAACUGGACUCUAUUUGUUCUUGCGCGUAUGAAGUGAGUGUGGUUGUGUGAGGGGCUGAGCCCAUACGGAGGGUUAGUCAGAGGGAUCCCCGUACGGAGGGUUAGUCAGAGGGAUCCCCGUGCCUUGGGGGUGUCCUGGGCUCCGUUACACUGGUGAUAAUGACAAUGAAGAAAACAAGAAUGUCCUCCUCUCCAGGAUGCUGCGGCCCCAGUUCUCCCCCUCGGGCACCUCAUCUGACAGGUAGAACAAGUCCAGGUGAACAAGUCCAGGUGUACAAGUCCAGGUGUACAAGUCCAGGUGUACAAGUCCAGGUGAACAAGUCCAGGUGAACAAGUCCAGGUGUACAAGUCCAGGUGAACAAGUCCAGGUGUACAAGUCCAGGUGUACAAGUCCAGGUGAACAAGUCCAGGUGAACAAGUCCAGGUGUACAAGUCCAGGUGUACAAGUCCAGGUGUACAUGUCCAGGUGAACAAGUCCAGGUGUACAAGUCCAGGUGUACAUGUCCAGGUGUACAUGUCCAGGUGAACAAGUCCAGGUGUACAAGUCCAGGUGAACAAGUCCAGGUGAACAAGUCCAGGUGUACAAGUCCAGGUGUACAAGUCCAGGUGUACAAGUCCAGGUGAAGGCAGAAGUGAGGAAACGUGUAAGGGAAAAGCCAAAAGAUGUUGACAAAAAAAGCACACGACCCAAACUCGCUGGGUUUGAGUCGUCUAAAUGAAUCUAAUCAUUACGGGUUUAGAUAAACACAAAGGAUUAGCGAACCUGUUAAACUAAACAAAGAGAACAGCUUGGGCAAACAGGAGCAGGAAAGACUGGCUGCUAGAAAUCUUUCAACCCUGCGAUA